rnacentral:rRNA from 1 species
GAAUUCGCCCUUAGAGUUUGAUCCUGGCUCAGGACGAACGCUGGCGGCGUGCCUAACACAUGCAAGUCGAACGGAGUUGAAAGGAGCUUGCUUUUUUCAACUCAGUGGCGGACGGGUGAGUAACGCGUGAGCAACCUGCCCUUCAGAGGGGGAUAGCGUCUGGAAACGGACGGUAAUACCGCAUAACGUACAAAGGCCGCAUGACCAUUGUACCAAAACUGAGGUGCUGAAGGAUGGGCUCGCGUUGGAUUAGAUAGUUGGUGGGGUAACGGCCUACCAAGUCGACGAUCCAUAGCCGGACUGAGAGGUUGAACGGCCACAUUGGGACUGAGACACGGCCCAGACUCCUACGGGAGGCAGCAGUGGGGAAUAUUGCACAAUGGGGGAAACCCUGAUGCAGCAACGCCGCGUGAAGGAAGACGGUUUUCGGAUUGUAAACUUCUGUUCUUAGUGAAGAUAGUGACGGUAGCUAAGGAGCAAGCCACGGCUAACUACGUGCCAGCAGCCGCGGUAAUACGUAGGUGGCAAGCGUUGUCCGGAAUUACUGGGUGUAAAGGGAGCGCAGGCGGGGAGCCAAGUCAGCUGUGAAAACUACAGGCUUAACUUGUAGACUGCAGUUGAAACUGGUUUUCUUGAGUGAAGUAGAGGUUGGCGGAAUUCCGAGUGUAGCGGUGAAAUGCGUAGAUAUUCGGAGGAACACCGGUGGCGAAGGCGGCCAACUGGGCUUUAACUGACGCUGAGGCUCGAAAGUGUGGGGAGCAAACAGGAUUAGAUACCCUGGUAGUCCACACUGUAAACGAUG